GCUUACCUGCAGUCGAGCGGGGGAAGGUAGCUUGCUACUGGACCUAGCGGCGGACGGGUGAGUAAUGCUUAGGAAUCUGCCUAUUAGUGGGGGACAACAUCUCGAAAGGGAUGCUAAUACCGCAUACGUCCUACGGGAGAAAGCAGGGGAUCUUCGGACCUUGCGCUAAUAGAUGAGCCUAAGUCGGAUUAGCUAGUUGGUGGGGUAAAGGCCUACCAAGGCGACGAUCUGUAGCGGGUCUGAGAGGAUGAUCCGCCACACUGGGACUGAGACACGGCCCAGACUCCUACGGGAGGCAGCAGUGGGGAAUAUUGGACAAUGGGGGGAACCCUGAUCCAGCCAUGCCGCGUGUGUGAAGAAGGCCUUAUGGUUGUAAAGCACUUUAAGCGAGGAGGAGGCUACUUUAGUUAAUACCUAGAGAUAGUGGACGUUACUCGCAGAAUAAGCACCGGCUAACUCUGUGCCAGCAGCCGCGGUAAUACAGAGGGUGCGAGCGUUAAUCGGAUUUACUGGGCGUAAAGCGUGCGUAGGCGGCUUAUUAAGUCGGAUGUGAAAUCCCCGAGCUUAACUUGGGAAUUGCAUUCGAUACUGGUGAGCUAGAGUAUGGGAGAGGAUGGUAGAAUUCCAGGUGUAGCGGUGAAAUGCGUAGAGAUCUGGAGGAAUACCGAUGGCGAAGGCAGCCAUCUGGCCUAAUACUGACGCUGAGGUACGAAAGCAUGGGGAGCAAACAGGAUUAGAUACCCUGGUAGUCCAUGCCGUAAACGAUGUCUACUAGCCGUUGGGGCCUUUGAGGCUUUAGUGGCGCAGCUAACGCGAUAAGUAGACCGCCUGGGGAGUACGGUCGCAAGACUAAAACUCAAAUGAAUUGACGGGGGCCCGCACAAGCGGUGGAGCAUGUGGUUUAAUUCGAUGCAACGCGAGAACCUUACCUGGCCUUGACAUACUAGAAACUUUCCAGANAUGGAUUGNGCCUUCGGGAUCUAGAUACUGCUGCAUUGUCGUCAGCUCGUGUCUGAGAUUGGGUUAA
rnacentral:rRNA from 1 species